ACGGGGUGCAGCAGGCGCGAAAACUUGUCAAUGCGGGAAACCGCGAACAGGGGAGUCCCAAGUGCUUGCACUUUGUGUAAGCUGUUCGGUUGUCUAAAAAACAGCCGAAGGAAGGGCUGGGUAAGACAGGUGCCAGCCGCCGCGGUAAUACCUGCAGCCCGAGUGGUGAUCGAUUUUAUUGAGCCUAAAGCGUCCGUAGCCGGACUAGUAAACCCUUGGGUAAAUUGGGCAGCUUAACUGUCCAAAUUCCGAGGGGACUGCUAGUCUUGGGACCGGGAGAGGUCAGAGGUACUCCAGGGGUAGGGGCUAAAUCCUGUAAUCCUUGGGGGACCACCAGUGGCGAAGGCGUCUGACUAGAACGGAUCCGACGGUAAGGGACGAAACCCUGGGGCGCGAACCGGAUUAGAUACCCGGGUAGUCCAGGGCGUAAACGCUGCAGGCUUGGUGUUGGGGAUCCUACGAGGAUGCCCAGUGCCGGAGUGAAGAUGUUAAGCCUGCCGCUUGGGAGUACGUCCGCAAGG
rnacentral:rRNA from 1 species